GCCUCAGAUAACAUUUUCACUAAGGAAAAAGUUGUUUCAAAUCACCUCCCGAACCACCCCUUUCAAGGUGUUACAACAUUUUUGGGACACCCUGUAUACCUGGCGUUGGAGCUACCACGUAUCUUUUACGGGAGAGAUGGUCCAUUCCAACCUAACCUGAAACUUCUUUCAUUAAUAUCUCAUCACGCCUGCAAUAUUUUCUGAAUUUAAAGGCAUUUUUCUAAUGUAAAUCGCAUAUAAGUUUUCGAAUAAAACCAAAAUCAAUCAAAUCGGUCCACGAACAACUGAGAUAUCGUAAUACAUGUCAUGAGACUGUCAAAAACGGCUUGUUCUCGUUCUCCCGGUUUUAUUUCAUCAAGGAAUUUUUUGUCAACACAAUAGGAGCUAAGGCCGUUCGUCGAUUCGUCGACUCUCGGAAUCGCUCGUGACGGCCGCUCAUGUCGCUCAUUCAUAACCUGUGAAGUGUCAAAUAUUUUACACUAUUGAAUUAUUCUUGUUUUGUAAUUAAAGUGUGUACUUUUUUAAUUUCUUUAUACCAGAAAAAUGUUUUCAAUUUUAAUAAAUUACAGCCAGAGUUGUAAAGUAUUGAUUCAUCAAUUUUAAUUACAAGAACUUCUAGAAACGAAGGGUAGUCACCAGGCUUGGAAGUUGUCCCGAGAAGGUUAUAGACGGAGAUAAAAUUGUGAAGUGUCAAUCAAAAGCCAUAAGAUUACAAAAAUUAUGGCCGACCGCUUGCAAUGUAGAGCUCACCAUAUUAGUGAAAUAAUUGAAACAUAAGAUGAUGCGGUGUGCACAACAUGAAUUUACUAAGCCAAGCAAGGUCGUGUUGAUGAAUAAGAAUUAUUUUAAAACACAAAAUAAUGAAAGUGUACUGAUAUUGUCAAAGUUUUAAACUGACAAAUUAUAUGAAAGUCUGCAAGAGAGAAAGUAUGGGUAUUGAUGAUCUGAGAAUGCUUUGCCUGGCCACACCAAGUAUUUGACUUCCAGGUCACAGACAUCUAGGCAAAUGUCUAAACAGUCUCAGUUUGUGGUUGAUACACUAUUUAGCUUCUUCAUUUCACCGCCAAAGUGCGGAGCAGUCAGUUUAACAAUAAUAAUUUAAACAAAAUAUUGUGGUAAUCUUGACCACAGUUACAUGAAUCUGAAAAUGCAAAAUAAUGUAUAUCUGACUAAAUACUAAUAUAUGUCAAUUUAUAUAAAAUAUGUUUAUGACUUCCAGAUUGUAGAAAUUGCGACUCCAAGUUAGUAUAAUUUAUUAUGGCUUCCAUUAUGGCAUACAUAUGAGUAAAUAUAGUAAUUACUUCUUCAGUAAGAACCGAAGGGCCUCCUCUAUCAAUAGAAUGGGAGCCUAUAGCCAGAUAUGUAAAUUUUAAUGGAAUUAUUAACACAAUUGGAUAAAUAUUCACUUUCAAAGAUUUCCAGAAAACAAGUCAUGCCAAUGGAAGGGUCAUGAAGAUUACUAUCGUUAUCACAAAUUUCACAUCUGUUUUUGAUUUCAGUAAAAGAAAAGAAUCUUGCUGAUUUCGUAAAUACAUGUUUUAAUCGAAUAUUUUUCUCUGCAUGAACUACUUCAUUGUAUGAAACAUGAUAAUUACAACCAGAUAAAAGUCUGUAAUUUCUAAAUCGUUUCUCUAAUUUUUCAGUUGAAAAUUUUCCUGCUAAAAGAUAAGGUAUGUCAAAAUUUUGAAAGCAGUACCCUAUGAGUAGUAAAAGAACUCUAGUACUUUGAUGUUAAGCUUUGAAAGUAUCUAAUGUUAAAUGACCAUCUGUUUCUAAAUUUGUCCAAGAAUCUAACCAUGUUAAACAUUUCUUUAAAUAUUCAUAUCUAAAAUCAUUAACAUUUAAAAUCGGUUUACAAAAUUCGUUUCUUUUCCUGUUACCUUUAACACUACUUUUAUUAUUCACAAUAUCUUACCAGUUGCGAAAUAUUUCUAAAAAAUGGCCAGUAUCUGUACAAUUAAAAUUUUUGCUUAUCAAAAUUAUUAGGAAACAAUGAUUUAUAAUUUAAUUUAUAAGCUUUUUUAAUAAUUAAAUAUUUUUCGUAAUCGUAAACCGUACGUAGAUCAUUAAAUUUAACUAAUCUUUGUUCAUUUAUAUAAAAGUCGGGGAAAAUAAAUUUUACCUACAUUUUUUUAAUUUAACCAGUUAUUUCUUAUAUUUCUCAUUAUAUGAACAAAGUCAAAAGAAAGAAAAAUGGUUUUAUUAGAUUGUGAAGGAUUAGGAAAACUUAUUUCAUUGUCAAAUAAUUUAUUGAACAUGUUUCUGUUCAUUCUAUGAUUAUCUGUUAAAAUGCAUAUUAUUUCAAAACCACAUUUCUGAAUAGAUUCUAUAAUUUUGUAAACAAUUGAGAUCAUUUCAUCUCCGGUAAUAACCGCUUAAAAACAGAUAAUAAUUGAACUAUUUCCAAAAGUUUAGCUUAUCAUGAAAGCUAAAAUAGGUUUUGCUAAUCCAUUACAAUUCAAACCGCAACCUGUAACUCUGUUUGAUCUAUACUGUAAUUUAGAACUAAUAUAUAUUUCGUCAAUUAAUAAAAUUACUACUUUCUCUUUGUCCGUUAAAUUUGAAGAUAUAUUAAUGAGAUAAGAUUCGUUUUGAAUAUCAUUGUGUGCUGUUGUAUUUAUAUUAGAUGAAAUAUGUUGUGAAUACCGUUUAUACGGUAAAAUAAAAAAGUUUCUUAAUAAAUUAUAUGCAGCUGAGGAUUGAGUAUAUCAUGAAAAAAGCCAUAAUAAUGGUGCAUGAAUUAUAUUGAUUGUUUUUAUUUUUUAUUUGCUGUAUUUGAUCUAUUAAUUAUUUUAAAUGUUUUGCAUGGGUGAAAUCCAUUGAUUCUGCAAUAAUAUAUGCCUUUUUGAGUUCAUCUAGAGACUUCUCCAGAUGUUCUUCAAUGAGACAUAUACCACUGUUAGAAUCUGCAUGCUGUACUUAUUUGUAUCUUUUUAAUAUAUUUUGAAGUUGAGACCAUCCACAUAAUUCUUAUCAAUAGGCAGUACCCACUCUAAAUCAUUAUGUAAUAAUUCCUUAUCUUUUUGAAAAACUUGUAAUUUCAUACUGUCAUUGAUUACAAUCUGUGCAUUAAAUAUCAAAAGUUCAGAAUUAUCAUUGCAUACAAGUACGUAAAAAGAAAUUCUUGAAUUUAUUAUUUUGAUACUCCAACAGUUAGAAAUUACAAACUUUUCUUCAUAAGUUUUAACUAAUUCUGAAAAAUCACUGAUCAAAACUGACGUAAGAAAUUCCUCAAUUAAAUUUUCAUGCUGUUUCCUUAUUUUUUCUUGACGCUCUGCCGGGUCUUUUCUCUGGGGUAGCACAUUUUUUGUAAAAUAAAAUGGGGAAUUCGGAAAAAUGGAUGGUCUCGAUUCGUUAUAAUCCUUGAACAUCUCAACAAAACAUUCUGCAGUACACCAUUGAGAGAUAGAAUACCCUCGUAUCUUAUAAUAUCAGUUUCUGCAAAAUACAGACAGCAGAAUAUUUUGUUGGUGUCUAAUUCUUACGAGGAAUAGCGGCUAUCUAUUUUGUUCGCAAUUCCUCAUCUUUAGGGACUAAAAAUAUCAAAUUAUAA